rnacentral:rRNA from 1 species
AUCAACGCUGGCGGCGUGCCCAACAUAUGCAAGUCGAACGAGAAAGUGGAGUAAUUUAUGAGUAAAGUGGCGAUUGGGUGAGUAACACGUGACUAAUCUGCCCUUCGAGUGGGGGAUAACCUGCGGGAAACCUGGCUAAUACCGCAUAAUGCCUUCGGGUUAAAGGAGCAAUUCGCUUUGAAGGAGGGGUCGCGGCGGAUUAGCUAGUCGGCAGGGUAACGGCCCUACCAAGGCGAUGAUCGGUAUCCGGCCUGAGAGGGCGCACGGACACACUGGAACUGAAACACGGUCCAGACUCCUACGGGAGGCAGCAGUGGGGAAUUUUGCGCAAUGGGGGAAACCCUGACGCAGCAACGCCGCGUGGAGGAUGAAGUCCUUGGGACGUAAACUCCUUUCGACCGGGACGAUUAUGACGGUACCGUGAAGAAGCCCCGGCUAACUUCGUGCCAGCAGCCGCGGUAAUACGAGGGGGGCAGAGCGUGUUCGGAAUUAUUGGGCGUAAAGGGUCGCGUAGGCGGUUUCGGUAAGUCUGACCUGUGAAAUCUCUGGGCUUAACUCAUAGUCCUGCAUCGGAAACUGCCGGGCUUGAGUGUGGGAGAGGUGCGUGGAAUUCCCGGUGUAGCGGUGAAAUGCGUAGAUAUCGGGAGGAACACCUGUGGCGAAAGCGGCGCACUGGACCACAACUGACGCUGAGGCGCGAAAGCUAGGGGAGCAAACAGGAUUAGAUAUCCUGGUAGUCUAGUUUUAAACGAUGGAUGUUUGGUGUGUUGGGUAUUUAAUUUUAACGUGUUGAAGCUAACGUGAUAAGUAUUUUGUCUUGGAGUACGGUCGCAAGGUUGAAAUUCAAAGGAAUUGACGGGGGCUUGCACAAGCGGUGGAGCAUGUGGUUCAAUCGACGCAACGCGAAGAAUCUUAUCUGGGUUCGAAGUGUAGUGGAUUGGGGGUAGAAAUAUUCCUUUUUCGCAAGAGACUGCUGCGGAGGUGCUGUAUGGCUGUCGUCAGUUCGUGUCGUGAGAUGUUGGGUUAAGUCCCGCAACGAGCGCAACCCUUAUCCCUAGUUGCCAGCGAGUCAAGUCGGGCACUCUAGUGAAACCGCCCCGGAUAACGGGGAGGAAGGUGGGGAUGACGUCAAGUCCUCAUGGCCUUUAUGUCCAGGGCUACACACGUGCUACAAUGGUCGGUACAAACCGUCGCAAAUCCGCGAGGGGGAGCUAAUCGGAAAAAGCCGACUUCAGUUCGGAUUGGAGUCUGCAACUCGACUCCAUGAAGCUGGAAUCGCUAGUAAUCGCAGAUCAGCACGCUGCGGUGAAUACGUUCCCGGGCCUUGUACACACCGCCCGUCACAUUACGAAAGUGAGCUGUACUAGAAGUCGGUGAGCUAACCGCAAGGAGGCAGCCGCCCAAGGUACGGCCCGUGAUUGGGGUG